GCCUCCACAUUCUUUAAACCCUUUAUUACUAUUAAGUAAUUUUAUAAGUUUAUAAAAGCUUNUAUGCUAAAACUAGUAACAAGAAAUUGAANUCCUCCAAAAUNUAAGCGUAAACCAAAAUCGGACUAACCAUUGGUAAUUAACAUUAAUAAACUUACUAUAGCAACAUACCCAGAAAACACUAUAUUUUUACACGUUAACCUUACACAAGCAAAUUUCCGGAAAGAUUAAAAGAANGAGAAGGAACUCGGCAAAUUUUAACCCAGCCUGUUUACCAAAAACAUCGCCUCUUGACAAAAUAUAAGAGGUCCAGCCUGCCCAGUGAUAUACUUAAACGGCCGCGGUACCCUGACCGUGCAAAGGUAGCAUAAUCAUUUGUUCUUUAAAUAAGGACCUGUAUCAACGGCAUCACGAGGGUUAUACUGUCUCCUCUUUCCAAUCAGUGAAACUGACCUCCCCGUGAAGAGGCGGGGAUAAAAAUACAAGACGAGAAGACCCCAUGGAGCUUUAAACCCAAUAACAAGUCUUCCUAAACAAGCCUUCAAAAAUAUAGAUUACUGUUUAUUGGUUUUAGGUUGGGGUGACCACGGAGAAAAAAUUAACCUCCUUGACGAAGAGAUAUUAUCUUUAUCUAAGAGCCACUGCUCAAAGAACCAAAAAUUUGACGUUACAUGAUCCGGCAACCGAUCAACGAANNAAGUUACCCUGGGGAUAACAGCGCAAUCCAUUUNAAGAGCCCCUAUCGACAAAUGGGUUUACGACCUCGANGUUGG
rnacentral:rRNA from 1 species